UACGUAGGGUGCGAGCGUUGUCCGGAAUUACUGGGCGUAAAGAGCUCGUAGGUGGUUUGUCGCGUUGUUCGUGAAAACCUGAGGCUUAACCUUGGGCGUGCGGGCGAUACGGGCAGACUGGAGUACUGCAGGGGAGACUGGAAUUCCUGGUGUAGCGGUGGAAUGCGCAGAUAUCAGGAGGAACACCGGUGGCGAAGGCAGGUCUCUGGGCCACUACUGACGCUGAGAAGCGAAAGCAUGGGGAGCGAACAGG
rnacentral:rRNA from 1 species